UUAAUCAAUUAGUAAGAUUGCUACUAACUAUAUGGUUGGAAAAGCAAUAGGAACAACAUAUUCAUGUGUUGCAGUAUAGUUAUCCCAGCAUAAUCGUGUUGAGACUUGAGAUCAUCGAUUUGAUCAAGGAAAUCUCCUUACUCCUUGCGUUCCUUUGAUGAGAUGGAAAGUUAGUAUGAUCUGUGAUGCUGUUGAACAUCUAAACCAACUUCACUUUUGGAAGGAGGAGAAAUGAUUACAACAAUUCGCACAGGGACUUCCCCGGUACAGAGGAUCUGGACCCCUUAAAAAUGAUUCAACCUUAAACUCUUUCCACUUUUCCUCUUUAUUUUGUAACUGCACAACAACCUUAAAAAUGAUUCAACCUUUCAUUCCCCUCUUCAUCAAUAGAAGUUAUUUCAAUCAAGCACCGACGUUGAACAACCUCUCACCUUCUUCCUCUUAUUAAAUAUUUUUCGACGUUAAGAUCAUCUCAGUUCUCAAUGGCUUCUCCAUAUAUAAUGUCACAUCCCAUCCGAAAACAACAUUCGUUCCACCGGUUCAAACAUGAAAAAGAAACCCAAGUUGAGUUUUUGGUUUAAGCAAUGAAGAAGGAAACAAAGCAAUAUUCACUUUUCUUAGAUAGCCUCAAGAGUGGUGGAUUCUUUGAAACAUCAUGCAGUUAUAAAUACGGUGAAUCCUUUGGGUUAUUGAUAUAAUGGAUAAAACAGUAAAUAUAGUCUUAAGAGCAUAUCCGUUGGUGUCUUGCAUCACCAGGUAUUUUUCUAUCGCCUUUAGUCUUAAGAGCAGAAAUUUUGAAUCCAGUUACUAUUAUGUAUGAGUUGUCUUACAAUGAAAGAUACAGAGAAUCCCUUGCAAGCAAUUACUUGAUAAUACGAAGUUCUUGAUAAGGUAGGUUAAGCAAAGAAACGAGUAAUCACGGAAGAACAUUAAUUUCUCUAAUAUUUAUAUGUCUGGAUGGUAGUGGCGACUCCCAUAAAACUCUCGGUAGAAGUCCUAGGCUAAUUGUGCAAGGUCGAUGUCGAAAAAACAAUACAUAUGCAGAUUCGAAUUAUGAUGUUCUUGAAGAUUCUGAUGUUAAACGUAUUUUAUUACUUAUAUUACUAUCAGUCCCAUUAGUUAACUUUUGAAAUUUCAAGCACCAUCUGUCUUAUGUUAACAAAGACAACACUCUUAGGCAUCAGGAAAACUGCAUAUCUCAGAUUGUACUGAAAUAGUUUCUAGGCUUUAGUUUCCUUCUUUGAGGCCAAGCUAAAUAUCAGUGAUGUGGUUUUUGAUGAAGGUUUUGUUUGUUAGAUACAUGUAUGCCGUGCAAAACUCUAUAAAUCAAGUUAAAAUAUUCCGAUAUGGGUGCAUUUGUGGUAUACCAGAUGGACUGAUAGAUAAACUAUCGUAUUUUGCUAAUUUAGAAGAUUAAUCAAAAUUUGUGUAUUUCCAAGGGUUUUUCGAAGUGUUUGACAAUGGAAAUGUGGCAAAUAUCAAGAGCAUCACAAACCAAAUCAAGCUUCAUGACUUGCUGAUGUUUAACUGUGGAUGUCUCCAGAAUCUUUAGGUUGAUGUCGGAAGUUCACAAAUGGGUCUUCCUUUUCCCCUUAAUGAUCGGGUGAUGAGUUUUAAAAACUAUGAAAAAUAUAUUCAGUUAAUUUUAACCGAGUUUCACCGGUAUCAUGUGCAGCCUCCCUGCUGUGAACACCCUGAUGGUGGUUGUGUGAUGAGUUCAGUGUGCAAUUCUACCACACUAAUCUCAUUCUUAGUUUUCAGAAGCCUAAAGUGUUUCAAUAUUUAUCAUUUGGUUGACCAAUAUGUAUAGAUGGUAACGGGGGGAACAGAAUGGAAAACCUAUUGGCUCUCCGAGAAAUCUGGGGUUGUAUAUUUUUGCCUCAUUCUAUAUUCAGAUUUUUUUUUUCAUGUUGUAGAUUUACGUUUGUUAUUGGGUUAAUGGAAUUAGAGUGUGAAAGGUUUAUGAUAUGCUUCAAUUUGCGGGGUUUUGUUAUUGGUCUGUCGGGAAAAUUUUGUUAUCUUCAUUAUGUUGUGAAAUUUUAGGGGUUUAGGCUUAGAAAAUUCUAUAUUUUUUUUGUGUGCAAACUUGACAACUUAUUGUUGUUGGUAUAUAUUCAUUAAAUGGGCCAAAAUUAACACACGAUAAUUAAUUAGUUUUUGUAAUCACUGUGGGUUGUUCUUUAAAUAGGGUUGUACGAGAUGUCCCUGUUGAACUGUGGUGGUGAAAUAGUGGUGCAUCGACCCAUUAGUAAAAAUGUAUAGAUGUUUUUCUUGAUGUUUGAUCAGAGCAAACGAAAUGGUUCACUUAUUUUAUCAGAUAUAUUGUUUGCUGAUAUAAAUGAUAGAUGGCACAUGAAGUACCGAGAAGGUGUGAGUUCAUCGAUGAAGAACAGGAGUUCGUAGUAAUUGUACAUUAUGCAAUACACCAGUUUGCCAAUGUUGCUUACAGCCUUGAUAACGGUUAUGCUCUAUUACCGGGUUCUGCACUUUAAUAUUUGGUGAUAUAGUUAUAGGAUUUCAGUUGGUUGGAGUUUAUGUGGGAUUGUUCAAGUUUUAUUUGUUGGUUAAUUUUAGAUACAGUCAUCUAUGUUCCUUGAAGUGGUGUCUAAAAUUUAUCUUAUUUGUCAUUUUAAUUAAAUUUUAAUUGAAACUGUUUGUGUUUUAACUUUGGUUUUGUUAUAGUUCUGUGUAUCAACAUAUCAAAUGGUGAUACCUUGCUGUUGCAAUGUGCUGUUUCUCAUCACUAUUUUGAUAAAUUGGUCUAUUUUUCUUGUAUGUGUUGGCUUAUGUUUUGGAAUCCUGACCAUGUGCAGUAGUAACUCCGAUUUCUUUUAAUCUUAUAGUAUGCUUUAUUCACAUAAGCAUUCACAUGUGCACCGGUUUAAUUGAACUCUUUGUACCUAUUCAUUUUACUGUAUAGUUUUUGGAAGCAUUCAGUUUUUGGUAUGCAUUUUUUUAUUGUGUGUUUUAAGAUUUUCAGUGGACUCUUUAUUCACCUUCU